UCAUUUAAAUUUAGAUUAAAAUUUUAUUUUUUAGUUAAAAAGCUAAAAUUUUAUUAAAAGACGAGAAGACCCUAUAAAUCUUUAUAUUUAUUUUUAUUUUAAUUUUUUAGGAUUAAUUUUAUUAUAAUAAAAAAAAGUAUUUUAUUGGGGUGAUAUUAAAAUUUGAUUAACUUUUAAUUAUUUUAGUUACAUUGAUUUAUGAUUUAUUGAUCCAUUAAUAAUGAUUAAAAAAUUAAGUUACUUUAGGGAUAACAGCGUAAUUUUUUUGGAGAGUUCUUAUCGAUAAAAAAGUUUGCGACCUCGAUGUUGGAUUAAGAGAUAGUUUUAAUGCAGAAGUUAAAAUAUAAAGUCUGUUCGACUUUUAAAUUCUUACAUGAUCUGAGUUCAAACCGGUGUGAGCCAGGUUGGUUUCUAUCUUUAAUUUUAUAUAAUAUUUUAGUACGAAAGGAAUUUAUAUUAGAAAUAAUUUUUAAAUUUAAGAAU
rnacentral:rRNA from 1 species